AAAAGAAAGAAAAAGCAGAAAAAUAUUUUAUACAGAAACUCAAAAUUACUUUUUGACAAAUUUUAAUUUAAAAAUCCAAUACAAAGUGACAGCUGGGAACAGUAUAUCUAACAAUAUACAUGUUCAUGGUCACAGUUUAAAUUUUCUUUAUCAGUGAUAAAUGAUGAUAAUGCAUGUGAGAUGCUUUUAAAGUGUAACAUAUUACUGCAAUUUCGAAGG
rnacentral:lncRNA from 1 species